rnacentral:lncRNA from 1 species
GGUAUUCUGGCAAUGAAACCACAUUUCCUGAAAAUAAAUGUAUCUGAACUUAGUUUAUGGGUUAUUCAAGGAUGUUUUUGGUUAUUUGGAACUGUCAUACUUAAAUACUUGACAUCUAAAAUUUUUGGUAUUGCAGAUGACGUAAGUGCAUUUUUUACUUAAAUUUGAAAGACUUGAAAAGAAUCGAAUAGGCUAAGAAUAAAUUGAGUUAUUCAAGUAUCACUAUUAAAUGAAAUUCUAGGAUGAAGUCUGUUCACCUAUUAUUUUAUUUAAUAUAAUAGAAAGUAAAUGUA